rnacentral:rRNA from 1 species
GAAGCGGCAAAAGCUCAAAUUUGAAAUCUGGCGUCUUUGGCGUCCGAGUUGUAAUUUGAAGAAGGUAUCUUUGGGCCCGGCUCUUGUCUAUGUUCCUUGGAACAGGACGUCACAGAGGGUGAGAAUCCCGUGCGAUGAGAUGACCCGGGUCUGUGUAAAGUUCCUUCGACGAGUCGAGUUGUUUGGGAAUGCAGCUCUAAGUGGGUGGUAAAUUCCAUCUAAAGCUAAAUAUUGGCGAGAGACCGAUAGCGAACAAGUACAGUGAUGGAAAGAUGAAAAGAACUUUGAAAAGAGAGUGAAAAAGUACGUGAAAUUGUUGAAAGGGAAGGGCUUGAGAUCAGACUUGGUAUUUUGCAUGCUGCUCUCUCGGGGGCGGCCGCUGCGGUUUACCGGGCCAGCAUCGGUUUGGAGCGGCAGGAUAAUGGCGGAGGAAUGUGGCACGGCUUCUGCUGUGUGUUAUAGCCUCUGACGAUACUGCCAGCCUAGACCGAGGACUGCGGUUUUUACCUAGGAUGUUGGCAUAAUGAUCUUAAGUCGCCCGUCUU